CUGCCUCUGGUGCCGCGGUCUGAUCUCUCGGUCCGUCGGCUUGAUGACCCUCCGCAUAGACGUCGUCGAACUGUAGAAAAUUCACGGUGCUGACCCAGUAUCCCAAAACAUAAAGAGUCUACAGCCUGGCUUGGAUCUAGAAAUGGAGUUGAUUCUCCAUUCCCCAAGUUUGCCUACACAAUAUGCUGUUUGUCUGCAUUACAUAUCAUUGUAUACUUUGA